rnacentral:rRNA from 1 species
UACGUAGGGGGCAAGCGUUGUCCGGAAUUAUUGGGCGUAAAGAGCGUGUAGGCGGCCAGAUAAGUCCGCUGUGAAAUCUCGAGGCUCAACUUCGAGCUGUCGGUGGAAACCACAUGGCUAGAGUCCGGAAGAGGAGAGUGGAAUUCCUGGUGUAGCGGUGAAAAUGCGCAGAUAUCAGGAAGAACACCAAUGCGAAGGCAGCUCUCUGGGACGGUACUGACGCUGAGACGCGAAAAGCGUGGGGGAGCGAACAGG